UGGGGAAUCUUAGACAAUGGGCGCAAGCCUGAUCUAGCCAUGCCGCGUGAGUGAUGAAGGCCCUAGGGUCGUAAAGCUCUUUCGCCAGGGAUGAUAAUGACAGUACCUGGUAAAGAAACCCCGGCUAACUCCGUGCCAGCAGCCGCGGUAAUACGGAGGGGGUUAGCGUUGUUCGGAAUUACUGGGCGUAAAGCGCGCGUAGGCGGGCUGUUAAGUUAGAGGUGAAAUCCCGGGGCUCAACCCCGGAACUGCCUUUAAUACUGGCAGCCUAGAGUUCGAGAGAGGUGAGUGGAAUUCCGAGUGUAGAGGUGAAAUUCGUAGAUAUUCGGAGGAACACCAGUGGCGAAGGCGGCUCACUGGCUCGAUACUGACGCUGAGGUGCGAAAGUGUGGGGAGCAAACAGGAUUAGAUACCCCCGUAGUCC
rnacentral:rRNA from 1 species